rnacentral:rRNA from 1 species
CCUACGGGGCGCAGCAGUGGGGAAUAUUGGACAAUGGGCGAAAGCCUGAUCCAGCCAUGCCGCGUGUGUGAAGAAGGCCUUCGGGUUGUAAAGCACUUUCAGUGGGGAAGAAAGCCUUGGGGCUAAUACCCUCGAGGAAGGACAUCACCCACAGAAGAAGCACCGGCUAACUCCGUGCCAGCAGCCGCGGUAAUACGGAGGGUGCGAGCGUUAAUCGGAAUUACUGGGCGUAAAGCGCGCGUAGGCGGUCUGAUAAGCCGGUUGUGAAAGCCCCGGGCUCAACCUGGGAACGGCAUCCGGAACUGUCAGGCUAGAGUGCAGGAGAGGAAGGUAGAAUUCCCGGUGUAGCGGUGAAAUGCGUAGAGAUCGGGAGGAAUACCAGUGGCGAAGGCGGCCUUCUGGACUGACACUGACGCUGAGGUGCGAAAGCGUGGGUAGCAAACAGGAUUAGAUACCCGUGUAGUCC